UAACAGACAGACUAUACCAAGUGGCUCGUCACUCACUACUCAGUGCACUAUCCAUAUUGAUCAACACUUCGAUCGAGUAAUUCAAGCGGAAUUCUUUGCGAAUAACACGAUACCAUCCCUCUGACUUGCGAUGAGUUUUUUUAUCACAACUCAACCUCCCACAAGACGUCUUAGGCUAAAUUUU